GACGAACGCUGGCGGCGUGCUUAACACAUGCAAGUCGAACGGAAAGGCCCAGCUUGCUGGGUACUCGAGUGGCGAACGGGUGAGUAACACGUGGGUGAUCUGCCCUGCACUCUGGGAUAAGCCUGGGAAACUGGGUCUAAUACCGGAUAUGACCAACUGUCGCAUGGUGGUUGGUGGAAAGCUUUUGCGGUGUGGGAUGGGCCCGCGGCCUAUCAGCUUGUUGGUGGGGUAAUGGCCUACCAAGGCGACGACGGGUAGCCGACCUGAGAGGGUGAUCGGCGACACUGGGACUGAGACACGGCCCAGACUCCUACGGGAGGCAGCAGUGGGGAAUAGUGUACAGUGGGCGCAAGCCUGAUGCAGAGACGCCGCGUGAGGGAUGACGGCCAUCGGGUGGGAAACCGCUGUCACCAGGGACGAAGCGUGAGUGACGGUACCUGGAGAAGAAGCACCGGCCAACUACGUG
rnacentral:rRNA from 1 species